AUAAAUGAUCGGCAUCAAUGCCUAAUUUUUCGUUCUCAAAAAUCUAAGGUUAAUGUCAAUGUAGUUCGUAUUUUUUUAAUGUUAUUUAGUUGCUUUUGGUUGUUCUGCAAUCUGUUGCAAACACACUGACUGAGAUUAGGAGAAAAUAUUGAUUGAGAUAGAAUUAUAGGGUUAGGAUUGGGGUGUUAAAGAGUAUACUUUUUAAUUUGGUAGUUUUUUAUAGUCAUGGCGAACUUGAUUAGAAUUUUGCAUAUUGACGGUUUUCUGAUGCAUUUAUAUAUGGUAUGGUAUAACUGGUUGAAGUUUGGGGUUUUUCUUAUAAAACUUGGAAUGGUUAUCGGAGUUGAAAAUCAAUUGACUUUUCCAUUUCUUUUUAUAUCUAUGGACUGAUUUUUUUUAAGACGCAUCAAUGCCAUAUUUGGUACCCAAUAUCUCAUAGUGUAUUUUGUUUCUUCUGUUUUUUUCUUUCUAAUAUAUGUAUACUGAUUUGAUCAGCAACAAUUCCUAAGUUUUCGUUCCCAGAAAUCUAAAGUUUAGUGUAACGGAGUUUAAUUUGGAUUUUUUUAAUGUCAUUUGAUUGCUUUUGAUUUUUCUCCAAUAUGUUUGGAAACACAUUGACUGAAAUCAAUAGAAAUUAUUGAUUAAGAUAGAAUUGUAGGGUUAGGAUUGAUCAAGUGUUAAAGAGUAUACUUUUUGAUGAUUUGUAUAUGUUGUUUUUGAUAGUUAUGACUUACUAAAAUUCUACAUAAUGGACAAUUGUCUGAUGCAUUUAUGUUGUUGCAAAUUUGACCUUGUCUAGUUUCCUUGUCCAGUAAUUUAUGUUGCUUGCGAAUGAAUCUUGGAUGUUAUGUUUUAAUAAAAAGAGUUUUUCCAUUCAAUUACUUAUUUGUCUUUUUUACUCAUUUUCAGUGGAUUUUGGUAGUUAUAGCAUUUCUAUUUGCGUCGGAGAUAGCUGUGCUUACCGGUGGAGAGCGUGUGCAAAGUAUUCUUGUUAUGACUCCGGUCAUGUUGUACCUGGUGGUACUUAUUCUCUUUUCCGUUAGUUACAACAAUCGUGCAGCGGUUAUUGAAGAUGUUGAAUCUGAUUUUGGGGUUCAAGUUGGUUUGCGUGCUCUUAAGCGGAUGGAGAUCUUCCAUUACAUAUGUUGCCUCGUCGGAUUCCUCGCAGCCUUUUUCGAUUUCCUGAGGAUAGGUCUUGGUUGGACUACUAUAUCGACGAG
rnacentral:lncRNA from 1 species